CGAAAUGCGAUAAGUAAUGUGAAUUGCAGAAUUCCGUGAAUCAUCGAAUCUUUGAACGCACAUUGCGCCCUCUGGUAUUCCGGGGGGCAUGCCUGUCCGAGCGUCAUUGCGAACCCCUCAAGCACGGCUUGUGUGAUGGACCCUCCCGCGUCUUGGUCGUCAAGACGGGCCCGAAAUGCAGUGGCGGCUUCGCGGUUAUCCGAUCAGCCAGAGCGUAUGGGGACUUUCUCUCUGUCACACGCCCGCGGCGCGGACCGACGCCUGUCGACCUUCAUUCAUCGUUUUCUCGGUUGACCUCGUAUCAGGUAGGGAUACCCGCUGAACUUAAGC
rnacentral:misc_RNA from 1 species